UUAGGUAGUGAAAUUAUUACACAAUACAGCAUGCAUACUUCAUAUGAAAUGUAUUUAUUAAUUAUUGAAAGAAAAUGAUCAUAACCUCAAGAAAACAACUGUGUAAUCAAGUAACUAAACUAAACCUGUGUUCAACUGAUUGUUUACAGAAUCAGGUGUGACCAGCCGGAAACGAACACCUCAUUCUCCACCGAGGACACAUCACUACAGUGUGACUUGACCAACAACAGCGAAGAUCUCGACAACCAAGAGGAACCGAGUCUGCAACCAAGCCGUGAAGCCAACCAAGAGGAAUUGAGAACUCUUCAGGAUGCAUUAACUGCACAAAAGCAGGAGAUAAUUAGUCUGAGGGUUAAGCUUGAGGCAAAGGACAGGGAACUCCACCUUCAGAAGUGCACAGACUUAAACCCUGAGAUAUUGAACAUAAGCCAUGUGCCUGAUUAUUUCAAAUACUGCACAGGUUUUACCUAUGACCAGUUUAAUGUCUUGUGUAAUUUGUUUUCCAUUCCAACUGACCCAGAUGCACCACAAACACACAUUCCACUGACAUAUAAAAAGAUUGAUAAUGAGAUCUUAAAACUUACGCUGCGCAGUCAAUUGUUACUGACACUGAUGAAAUUUAGACAAAAUUGGGACCACAAAGAUUUGGCAUUCCGCUUCAAGAUUCGUUUACAAAGUGUCAGCACUUUGAUAAACUCCUGGGUGGACUAUAUGUUUGAAAUUCUAGGGAAAUUGUCUGUUUGGCCACACAGGGACGUUAUUCCAGAGAAUAUGCCAGCUAAAUUUACAGAACUUAAAAUUGAGAAACCUAGUUCACUAGUGUUGCAGAGUCAGACUUACUCCACCUACAAGUCUACAAACACCCGUAAGUCUCUGGUGGCAUGUGAUCCACGAGGUGCCCUCAUUUAUGUGUCUGCCCUCUUCACUGGAUCCAUUUCAGACAAGGAAAUAUUCAAUAGGAGCAACAUCAUUGAUGUUUUGAAGGGGUGUGUUCAGUGUGGCUACCUAAAUGUAGGAGAUGGAUUGAUGGUUGAUAAGAGUUUCCUAAUAGAGAAAGAAGUUGAGGAGAUUGGCUUGAAACUUAACAUUCCACCUUUUGCAAGAGCAAACAGACAGAUGCCACAUGCAGAUGUUGAUCUGACAAAAAAAAUAGCCAAGCACAGGGUCCAUGUUGAAAGAGCUAUUGCGAAGAUACAUUUUUUUAAAAUUGUGUCAGGCAGAAUCCCCAUUUCUCGGCUUGGGAACAUAAAUCAAAUAUGGUAUGUUGUCAGUAUGUUGUCUAACUUUCAGCCACACAUCAUCAAAUAUUAAGGUUUGUGUGGAGAACAGCUAGGGGGUCAUGAUGAAAAAUAAAGAAUAUAUACUGUACUAUA